ACGAGAAGAAAUAUUUCUGUUCUUUGUCCCAGAAACAACACAUGAUGCACCUCUCUGUUCUCUUUUCUUCUUCUCUGCUUCAGCAACUGCCAGGGUAGCUUCCUCACUAGCUUUCUUUGAUCGCCUUUCAAUGGAUUUUGACCAUUUUAAACUAGAUCCACCAACACUUAAUACCUUGGAUUUUCGAAGUGAAAAUCCAUGUUUUGACCUUGUGUAAACAGUAUCCCUCUUCCUGGACAGCAGCAAUUUCCUACUAAUUGCAGAUGAGGAAUUAUUACUGGGAUUAGCAGCUGAAUUUGUAAUGAAGCUUCUCCAGUAUGUUGCUCUUUUCCAGGGAAACAAGUGGGGCAAGACCUUCUCAUGAUGCAAUGGAUCACCAUCAGCAUUCAACAAUUGAUCACUACGUAGUGUCCAGACCAAAGAGAAUUUUGAAGGUUUACAUGUCAUAACUUCACGAGAUCGUCCCUUACUCAAACUACUGCUGGAAGUAAUGUUAUGAAGGCUUUGCCCCUCAGGAUUCACACUUUCAUUGGGCAUGUUGACUUUUGGUUUGACAUGAGUUUCCGAUGAAGUCCUAACCAGCUGAUUUUUCCUCCUCUUGUAAUAACCAUUGGAGGGUAAGGCUGGGAUAUUAUGAGCAUUACUAACAGACAAUGAACUAGGAUUUGAAGUUGCAACCAACUGAUUUGAUUUUUGCUUAACAUGACUUAUACCGUUGGCAUUUGAAGACAUUGCAUUCCCAUCGUUUAGUUCACUACAGGAAUCCAAAUUGUUAAUUUGGCCAGUUUGAGUCAUAAGAUUUUCUGAAAUUAUUAUUGCAUUCUCAGAGGAGUUUAGCACAUCAUUACUUGCUGUAGAAGUCAUAUGAUCUGAUGCAGUUUCAGUAGCACAAUUAUGAAGAGGCUCUGCUAGUGGGGAAGAUGUAAAAUUCCCCAAAAAACUGCUAGCAUGAUUUGGCAAUUUGGUGGCACUGGCUAAUGGCGGUGUUCUGGGCCUCUCAAAAGCGGCAUUCGCCCCUGUUCGUACAAAAUUUGAUGGGUCAACAACACCAGUUCUAAUGUCAGAUCCAGCAUUCUUCUUCAUUUCAUCUGUAACAGAAGAGUUCAGCCGAUAAACAGAAGAACUCAAACCAUGAAAGCCCUGGGAUUGAGCAGCAACUGGAGUAUGUUUCAUAACAAGACUGUUACCCUUGCGAAUGUAAGAGGUGUUCUGGAACUUUAUCUUUUUAGGUAGUUGCCAUUGUGUAGGAACAGUGCUUGAAAAAGCCUUGUUUCCUGGCUGAGCCAAUGUAGAAGAAUUAUCAGUUCGAUACCAUGUUCGGGGUUUUGGGAUAUUGGUUAAAGAGGCUGUAUUUUUUGAAGCAGUAAAUACAACAGAUGAGCGACCUGGAUAAAUCCUAGAAACAGCAUGAGUACGCUGGUUCUUCUUCCCAUAUACUUCUCCACUCAUGGUACUCAAUGUUUGAGUAAUAUUUCUGGAAUCCUGUGAUGGAAAAAGUCCUGUCUUCCCACUAAAUGAGCAAUCAUUUUCUACUCCAUUGUCUGAGUUAAAAUCAAUUUCAGUAUUCAAUGGACCACAAGUAACAGCAGAUAUGUUUGGAACACCUUGAAUUGGAGGCUUCCCAAGUAGGACUUCAUCAUCCCCACCAACCUUUUCAAUGGAAAAUUGGCUGUUUGAUCUAUUUGGGACAUCAGGCAAUGUUUCAAGACAAUCCAUAUCAGACAAUGUAUCAGGCACAAGCCCCAUAACUUCACCACUGGAGUUGGUAGUAGAAACUUCAUUAACAUCUCUAAAUGAAGAAAAAUUGCUUGACAAAGAAGGCAAAUCAUUUUUCACAUGAUCACUACAGUCAUUAUCAACAUCUGUACCAUGCAGUCUUUCAUCUGAGUCAGGAAACUGAAGUUCUGAAGGAAAUUGGCACUGAGCUGUUCCCCUGUCAACAAUAUCUUGAUCUUCUGCAGCACCAACAUCUACAUCCAUUUUUUCUCCGUCACCACUUUCUAUAUGAAUGUUAUUUUGAUGAAUACUUCCAGCCAUAACUGGAGUUGUAUGUGCAAUCUGCUUGCCUUCCAGUUCUGAUGGACAAAGGGAUUGCACUUUUUGGACAUCCAGCUCCUCCCCAGAACAAGAAUGAACACCCCUCAAACCAUCUCUAAGUGAAGCCUCAGUGCUAUGACAUCCUCCCACACAACAAUUAUCAAGCGAUGCAGUGAUCUCCUUCUGCAAAAGAGGGACAUCAGGAGUGCACAAAUGAUUCAUGGCAGAAACUGUGGUGUCUAGCUCUGGUUGCAUCAGAUCAUUGCCACAAUUGCAGGGCACUUCUACAGCUGAUACUGAGAUGCCUGCAGUUAGAGGCCCCUCAGACUCACCAGAUGCUAUCAGACAAGUCGAUUCCAGUUGAGAACCAGAGAAUUUUCUUUUCUUUUGAUUCUGCUUUGAAGUACCACUUGGACCAACAUUAACAGUGCUGUUACCUGAAGCAUUGGCCUCCAACGCAUCUGGUGAACUUCUCAGGCAAAAAUCACUGAUUCCAUCUGUACAACCUCGCAAGCCAACAUUCCCACAAACAUCACCAGAAACUGUAAACUCUGUUGGAGUAGGAUCUUUGAAAGACAGUCUUAAGGUUGUAUCGACCCAAGUUGCAGAGUUAACCAUGUUUACAGGCUUUAAAUAUGAAUUAUUCACCUCUGAUUUUGACACAUGUAAUUGAGGCAUUUCAACAUUUUUAUUGCUCUUCUUGAUGUUAGGUGUAUCCUCUUUGCUGCCAUCAGUAGAAAUUGUACAAUUUAGUGAUCCUCCUGUAGGAACAUUCUCAAGUGUACUAACCUUAUCUGAAGAAGGCCUCCCGCAAACAUCAUCAAUAGUCCCAUUGCUGGAAAAAUCAAUUUCUCCUGAAAUAAUGUGACCACUGUUAGAACUAUAAAUGGUCCGUACUUCAUUUGAACAGCUCGCACAUGUAUCAACAUUCUGAAUAGUCCUUUCCCCUGAAUUUGAUUCACAGAAAAUUUUGCCACUUCCUACAGAAAAAUUAGCAUUUAGACACUGAUCUACAACACCAUUCUCCGCUAAAGGUUUACCCUGAUUUGUACAAGGUUCCUUGCAACUAACAUCUGUUGUCCCAAUGUUUGAAACAGUAAUCCCAUCAGAUGAGUUAAUUAAACAGCUGUCAGACUCACACCCCAAGGUUGUAUUAUAUGAACUUGCAGGACCCCCAUAAAUUUUAAUUUUCUUAGAACUUAAGAAACCAAAAUCAGCAUAGCCUUCAGCAGAAUGAGUCUCCAUUGGCAAACCGUUGGGAGAUGCACUUGCUCCAUUACUCUCAAGCAAGAAUGAGCCCACAUUCUGACAAGGCUGCUUGCUGGCAGGUUCAACAUGAUCAAUGUCAGAACUAGUAGUUUCACUUAGUAAUUUAGUAAAAUCCUUGUCAGUAUUUGAGAUACCAUGCAAGUAGUUGACUGAAUUACUUUUGCCUUCUCCAUGACUUGAAGAACCCAGAGGAGAAGUUGAAUGGCUCCUCUUUCUCUUGAUAUUAGGUGGACAUAAUCUACCAGAAUUAGUAUUUGUGUCAUCCUCAGAUACCAUGACCAUAGCAAAACCCUCUACUCUGUCCUUCUGAGUCUCAGGCACCAUAUUUGUUUCAUUUGAGCAGCGCUGUGAAUCAACAAUGUCAACUGAAGCUGUAGAAGCAUUCUUUUCAGGCUCAGAGGAUGCAGGUAGACCAUGGGCAAAGCCAUCUGCUGUCACAGAUUCAUCACACUUAUUACUUGGCUGUGAACUUGAAGAACUCAAAGGGUUUAUGACUUUCUUCACUACUCUCUUCACAAUUUUUUUCUUCUUUGCAACCUUGAGAGAAGAUGUUUUACCAGAAAUGACAUUAGUUCCACCUUUAUUAGACACCGAAACCUUAGUGGAACUCUCCACUUUACUAUUUCCAGGCGAGGUUUUAGUCCCACUGGAACCAGGCAGCGAACUACUAUCAUGCACAUUAACAAUACCAGAAGCAGUAACUUCCACUUUGGACUGUUGUUGGUUGAUGUCAGGACUGGAAGCAUUAUUUGCUACAGAAACAGCAUUGUCCAAUUUUACAGUGCCUUCAUUGGGUUUAAUUACUGAUGAACUUGAAGUAUCCUUAGUAAGGACCAAUGCUUUCCUUUCUUUUUCAUUCCUAGGUGUCAAAUGCAAAUCAGAAACACCUGCAAAACUUGAAGGAGGCAUCACAAUAGCCUUGGCAACCAGUGAAUUGGACUUGAAAGACACAUCAAGCUCUACAGGGCUUCCCUCUCUCACUUGCUCUCCUAUCUCAUGAUUUGGGUACAAAUUCUGAUGUUUACCCCUAAAUGAACUAGAUUUGUUAUCGUCAAAAUAACCUGAAUAAUGCACCCUUUCAUCCUCUCUAUUCCUAUAAUUAGGCUUUUGAAUCCUAAGAAGAACACUCUUUUUCUGUAGUGGCUUCCUUGAAGUUCGACUAAACUCAUAACUAUCCUCUCUACUUCCCUUGCUACUAUGUCUUUCCAACUGUGCAUUCACUUCUCUACACCUAUAAUGCUCACGUUUCCCAGUAGCAACUCGAAUUUCAGAAGGGUCACCAAUCUCAUUACUCCCCCUUUCAAUGAAGGAAUAAUGCGCAUCUCCGUUCACCUCUCUGCCAUGUACCCAUCUCUGAUUCUCAUUCAUUCGAUUAUCAUACGGCAAACCACGCAGAUUCUCACAGGGCGAACUCUGAUUCAUUUGAUUCGAUACCAUUCGGAAAUCCCUUGAAGAUCUAUCUGAAGUGGAUCCAAAUUGACUGCGGCGAUGAUAAUUGUCAUCACCACGACCCAGUCGAAGUUCUUCCCUUUGUUUGUGUUCCUCUAUAAACCUGGAAUUGCCUUCUAAUUCACGCCUAAUCUUCAUAGGAGACAUGGGCUGGUUAUCUAGGGGACGGCGAUAUGAGUCUGAAUCCACGUUGGCAGGAGGGUAGGGCCUAGAGGGCCAUCUAUCGGGCAAAACCCUAGGUGGGUCCCUCAAAUCGGGUCUGCUAUCACGGAUAUAAUUGGGUAAUCGACGCGGAAGAUCAUCGUCGAAGGGUUUGUGGUGCAUAAGGGGAGGAGAUUGGGUGAAAUUAUGAACAUCAGCGUGUGAUCUGGGGUGAUUAGAAUUAAAGGUAUUAGGAUUGUAGGAGAAUUGGGAAUCGUGAGGAUUGAAUUGAGGUGGGGUAGGGAGAGAGUGGUAAGAUGGAGUUGGAGGAGGACGUGGUUGUGGUCGGAGAGGUGGAGGUGGAGGUGCAGCAAUGAGGGUAGAGUGGUGAGAUGCAUAAAUAUUGGGGUUAUUGGGGAAAGGAUGAUCAGGAUGGGGAUGCGAUUGAGGUGGAGGUGGUGGAGGUUGAGGAUGGCGAGGGACGUACCUGGUGUGGUGAAGGUAAGGAGAACGAGGAUCCAUCGCCGGCUAGCUGACGACUCUAUUUGUAAUUUCUGUUUCUUCUCCUUCCGGUUAGAGCUAUAUCACACGUUGACCGUUUAACUCUGCUUUGCUUUGCUUAUUGAGAGAGAAAAGCAAAUAAUAAUGGAACAAAUUCAUACGUCUUGUUUGUUUGGGCAGCUCCCUUAAAAUUUCGCUUGUUG
rnacentral:misc_RNA from 1 species